AAUUUUCACUAUCUAGGGGCAAAAUUGUAAUUUUUCCACUCGCGGACAAAAUUUGAGAUUUUGAGAGAAUUUAGAUCACAUUUGACAAAUUGGAGAAUGGUAUGAGUAUAAGGGAUGAAAAAUAUGUCUAUGGGCAAUUUUUCAUUUUUUGGGGUAAAAAUGUAAUUUUUCACUUUACGGGGGCAAAAGUGUAAUUUUUAAAAAUUUN
rnacentral:lncRNA from 1 species